GGGUUGACUUGUGCAGGCGGCAGGGGUUAUAGGGAGGGUUGAAGCGUUAAUGUGAAUUACUGUGCGUAAAGCGUGCGUAGGCGGUUCUGUAAGGCUGCUGGGAAAUCCCCGGGCUCAACCUGGGAAUGGCAGUGGAUACUGGAGAGCUAGAGUGUGAUAGAGGAUGGUGGAAUUCCCGGUGUAGCGGUGAAAUGCGUAGAGAUCGGGAGGAACAUCAGUGGCGAAGGCGGCCAUCUGGAUCAACACUGACGCUGAGGCACGAAAGCGUGGGGAGCAAACAGGAUUAGAUACCCCUGAGUC
rnacentral:rRNA from 1 species